rnacentral:lncRNA from 1 species
CUCAUCUGGUUCCUACCACCUGGUGAGCAGCAGCAAGAAUUGUUUAGAGACACAUUGCUGGAGGAGACUCACUGCUACAAGUGAUAUUUACUUUUAGAAAAUAUAGAAGUCGCAAGCUGAAACUUUGCAGUGGGCACCAAAAGCGAACCGCUCACCCCCAAGAUCCCUGUGAACCAGUUCUCAGCCACCAGUGAUUUAUGCGCCGUCUCGCCAUAAGCCCCAGGAAGGAGGAGGCCACUUGCCGGAGAGCUGCAGCCCUAUAGCCACUAGCAGGCACUCUUAUAACAACAUUUCCACCCAAACUCAUUAAAAUCGGGCAAAGUGGGAGCUGUGUCUUGCACGGACCGCGGACCAGCUCCAGCUCUUGCACAAUCACAUAGCAACAGACCCAGAACAGAGCCUCAUUACAAGCCUUGUCCAACAAGCCAGUCUUUAACGAGAACAAAGGUUGACAGUGAUUAAUCAUUAAGCAGUUUCUUGUUCCCUUCUGCACGUGUUGGAGGCAGCCUCCCGCCGAGGCAGUCUGGCAUGUUUCCUGUCUGUGCUGUACCAGGACCCGCGGAUGGACACACAGACAUCGUUCCCAAAAGCCAAGUGCGCAGCCCAACGCUGGUCCCCACUCCUAAGCAUGGCCAACACGGAGCAUGUGUGUGCUCUGCAGAAGUCAUAAACUCCUAGCUGACAUCUGAUUGCUGGAUGUGCAGCCUCAACAGCCUAAAUGGGGCUUGCUCACACCUGAAGUUUUCCCAGAG